UGCAGCCACAUCAGAGAGGCUGGCUGUGAAUUUAGUCUUCCUGCCACACAUUGAAGUUCCUGCUGAUAGCCAAUUGGACCUCAGCUUGUUCAUCAGGCUUGACUCCUGCAUCUUCUGAAGGCUGUAGGAAGAAUAAGUAAGCCCAAUAGCAAUGCCUCCUGUGAUGUACUGGACUGGCAGUUCCUUGAUUCUGGAGGAGUCUGCAAUAGGAAGACCACAAAUGUAGUAGUUCGUUGUGACAUCCAUACCUAUGAACAUGUAUUUACCUGCCAAAAUGCUUAAUUAUGUAAGGCCUGCCUGCCUGCCUGCCUGCCUGCCUGCCUGCCCCCCCCCCCCCCCCCUCUCUCUCUCUCUCUCUCUCUCUCUCUCUCUCUCUCUCUCUCUCUCUCUCUCUCUCUCUCUCUCUCUCUCUCUCUCUCUCUCUCUCUCUGAAGUGUGGAUGGUAUGUCAGCACAGGGAGCAAAAAACCAAGGAGCCACUGAGGCUGUCACUUUGAAGAGGUCAUUGUUGUUGCAUCCAGCAUCCCAGCCUGACUGCCUAGACAGCUCCUGCAUGUUGCUGAAGGGCAGAGUCACAGACUGCUCCACUGCCAGGUGUGAGACCAGUGUGGCAGAGUAUGAUGUGUACACAAUGAGGGACACACCACAGCCAACCCUGUAGGUGACCCAUGCUGCACUGCUGAUUGGGUCCUCACUUUGCUGUAGGAGAGCUGACAACACGUACCAGCCAGCAACUCCCAUGCUGACAGGCUUCUCCCCCAUGGGUAUGUAGCACCUCUGGAGUUGGUCAGCAAAGAAGAGGAUGCUAGCCAAACCUAUCAUGUUAGUCAGGAUGCACCAGUACAGAGCUGUGUCCAUUGGGGUUGUGUAGGCUAGUAGCAUCUUGUCAAGAUCAUCAUAGGUGGCCACAAACAGUUUAUAGCUAUGAGAGGAGGACUUGCCUUGUGAACAUCACAUUGGGGAAGCCCACCCCAGCAGCCCAGCCUCCCCUGACAGCUGUCAUCAUCUGCUGCCUUGCCUGGGAGGACCAUAGACACAGCUUGUCUCUGAUGUCUUCCCCACAAUGCCUUGUCUUUGUUGGCUUCAGUGCAAUUUGUUUGUCUUCAGUUUAAAUAGUAUUGUAUAUACUAUCUUGUCUUCACCAUCUUGAAAUGUGAAGGAUGUUCUUGACAAACAAACAAGGUAGUAUUGUAUAAUUAUUACUUUAAAUAUUGUCUUAAAUUAUCUUGAAAUUUGUAAAAAAAAAAAAUGUGUAAAAAGAAAGCAAAUACAGAUGAUUAUCCCUGUAGUGAAGGAGGAAGGACUCAAUGUCCCUGUAGUGAAGGAGGAAGGACUCAAUGUCCCUGUAGUGAAGGAGGAAGGACUCAAUAUCCCUGUAGUGAAGGAGGAAGGACUCAAUAUCCCUGUAGUGAAGGAGGAAGGACUCAAUAUCCCUGUAGUGAAGGAGGAAGGACUCAAUUUUUUUUUAAGUUCAAGGUGUGAUUUGCACAUAGAGGCUCCUGGAUUUCCCUGUAGAUUGACCCUCCCUGAAUGCAGGGAGGGACAGUGCCUCUAUGUACAAAUCGCACCUUAAACUUAGUAUUUUGUAGUGAAGCCUUAAACUUAGUAUUUUGUAGUGAAGGAGGGAGGAAGUAUUUUGUAGUGAAGGAGGGAGGAAGGACUCCUUUCUGAGUCCUUCCUCCUUCACUACAGGGAUAUUGAUCUCUAUAAAUAUUUUUUUUUUACAAAGCUAGCUAACAAUUAUAAGGCAGAUUACAUUGAGUCAUAAUUAUUAAGCAAAUUUAAUUUUUUUUUUCACAAUACAAUUAUUAAAUUUGACAAAUUA